AACAAUCAACAAAUCAAAACAACAGCAACCGAAGAAGAAAAUUUGGAUUUCGAUUCGUCAUCGCAGUGAAAGCGUUUAUUGCUAAAAUUCCGCCAUUUGCUCGCAUCCCAGAGUCGCUGCCAGAAUUGAAGGAGGAAAUAGCCGUAUCGUUCGUCAGUAAGGUAGCGGACAAAUAAUUGCUCCCCGAGUUGGGUCAGCAGAAACGGAAACCGAGCAAGGUAGCAGUAAUCCGUCGUCACCGAUUCGAGUAGAAAGCUGUGGAGGACUGGGAAUUGCUGCUGCUAAGACGGAAUCCGAGUCUACCAUUGCCAGAUAAUUCGGAAGAACAUACAACCAAAGCUCAGGCAAAAAGGAAAAGAAGGAGAAAGAAACCUGCUCAGCCUCGAGACAAGGUGUCGGGUGCCCAGCAAACCACGUAACGGACGGUAGCCAUAAAUUUAACGGAAG